AACGAACGCUGGCGGCGUGGAUAAGACAUGCAAGUCGAGCGGGAUAUUUCGGGUAGCAAUAUUCGAGAUGUCUAGCGGCGAAAGGGUGCGUAACACGUGGGUAAUCUGCCAUGAAGUUCGGAAUAACUCGCUGAAAGGCGAGCUAAUACCGGAUGUGAUCAUUGAGGGACAUCCUUUGAUGAUUAAAGUUGGGGACCGUAAGGCCUGACGCUUCAUGAUGAGCCCGCGGCCUAUCAGCUAGUUGGUGAGGUAACGGCUCACCAAGGCUAAGACGGGUAGCUGGUCUGAGAGGACGACCAGCCACACUGGAACUGAGACACGGUCCAGACACCUACGGGUGGCAGCAGUCGAGAAUUUUUCACAAUGGGGGAAACCCUGAUGGAGCGACGCCGCGUGGGGGAUGAAUGGCUUCGGCCCGUAAACCCCUGUCAUUCGGGAUCAAUGCCUGCGGCAUAAUACGUUGCAGGUUGAUAGUACCGGAAGAGGAAGGGAC
rnacentral:rRNA from 1 species